UACGAAGGGGGGCUAGCGUUGUUCGGAUUUACUGGGCGUAAAGCGCACGUAGGCGGAUCGAUCAGUCAGGGGGUGAAAUCCCAGAGCUCAACUCUGGAACUGCCUUUGAUACUGUCGAUCUGGAGUAUGGAAGAGGUGAGUGGAAUUCCGAGUGUAGAGGUGAAAUUCGUAGAUAUUCGGAGGAACACCAGUGGCGAAGGCGGCUCACUGGUCCAUUACUGACGCUGAGGUGCGAAAGCGUGGGGAGCAAACAGG
rnacentral:rRNA from 1 species